rnacentral:rRNA from 1 species
CCUACGGGAGGCAGCAGUGGGGAAUAUUGGGCAAUGGGCGCAAGCCUGACCCAGCAACGCCGCGUGAAGGAAGAAGGCCUUCGGGUUGUAAACUUCUUUUCUCAGGGACGAAGCAAGUGACGGUACCUGAGGAAUAAGCCACGGCUAACUACGUGCCAGCAGCCGCGGUAAUACGUAGGUGGCAAGCGUUAUCCGGAUUUACUGGGUGUAAAGGGCGUGUAGGCGGGACUGCAAGUCAGAUGUGAAAACCACGGGCUCAACCUGUGGCCUGCAUUUGAAAGUGUAGGUCUUGAGUACUGGAGAGGUAGACGGAAUUCCUGGUGUAGCGGUGAAAUGCGUAGAUAUUAGGAAGAACACCAGUUGCGAAGGCGGUCCGCUGGACAGCAACUGACGCUGAGGCGCGAAAGCGUGGGGAGCAAACAGGAUUAGAUACCCUUGUAGUC